UUUCUGAGCCUAACAGAUGUGAGGUCAAUAUACAGAGAAGAGCACAGCGGAUGAUAUUCACUUCCCAUGUCAUUUGCACAUUUCACUGUGACAUUUUGUGGUUCAUUCUGCAUGUUUUGCUGAUGUCUAUCUAAAAAGGCAUGUACUUUAAGAGGUUCCUUUUCAUAAAGAAUACUUGAGUGAGCAGGGCCUCCAGGCUUCACAACUCCCGGUAUGAAAGAUACCUCUAGAUUGUGCAACCUGAGGGCCUAUUAUAGUGGUGGGGGGACUGGGGAGGAGGGAGCGGUGCAGUCUGUGGCAGACUUUGGCACAGCUGCUCAGGACUGUUAUACGAGUGUCAGAGGGCACAAACUGGUUAGCACUUGGUUCAGGUAUUUUUAAUUCAGAUAUUUGAAAUUCCAGCUUCACUAUUUAUUUGCCAUUUGAUCUCAGGCAAGAUAUUUAACCUCUCUGCACUUCCCUUUCUGAUCUGUAAAAAGAGAAUAACGUUCAUUCCUACUUCACAGGAUUGUUGUUGAAGACAAAAAAAAAUCUUUCAUAUAAAAUGCUUAGCAGAGUGCCUAGUAAUAAAACAUGUUAAUUAAUGUCAUUAUCCCUUCAAACACACAUGCAAACAUACAGAAUAAAUUUUUUAAAAGCAAAGUUUUGAUUAUAAGACACCAAGACCAAUUUCCCUAUUGCAUAAGCAAUAAGCAAAACACAUACGGUUUCUCAUUUCUUUGAGUUUUCAAGUAAAACUAUGGGUAUACAAUUCAGAGCUGGGCCAAACUGAAUUUCCAGGAAAGCAAUACCUGAGAAAGUUUUAAAGAAGAGCAAGAUUUGUUGGCUGAAAAACAUAAACACAUCUCAACCUCAGAAUCAGAAUGGGAGCAAAUAGCACAGCUGGCCUCUGACCACUUACUAAUGAACUGCCACCUGCAUGAAGACCAGGGUACACUGGUCAAAUUUAACUCCAUUCCAUAGCUCUACUCCAUGUUCCUUUAUUUCACUUCCUUACUGAGAUAGUACAUCCCCAAAAGGAGCUUAGGAAAACUGUGUGUUUUCAUGCAAUAAAGUUAUCAUGGAGAAUGUGGCAGUGAUGGAGUAUAUCAUUUUGGACAUUGUGAGCAUUCUUCCAGCUAUGGUUUGAAUGUUUGUCUCCUCUAAGACUCAUGUUGAAAUUUGAUCCCCAGUAUUGGAAGUGGGGCCUAAUGGGAGGUGUUUGAAUCAUGUUUGAAUUUCCUCAUGAAUAUUUGUUCCUUUGAGAGCUGGUUGUUUAAAAAGAGUCUGAUACCUCUCUGUCUCUCUGUCUCUCUCUCUCUGUCUUGCUUCCUCUCCCACAACGUGAUUUCUGCACACAUAGGCUCCCCUCACCUUCUGCCAUGAGUGGAAGUAGCCUGAAGUCCUC
rnacentral:lncRNA from 10 species